rnacentral:rRNA from 1 species
GAUGAACGCUGGCGGCGUGCCUAAUACAUGCAAGUCGAACGAAACUUCUUUAUCACCGAGUGCUUGCACUCACCGAUAAAGAGUUGAGUGGCGAACGGGUGAGGAACACGUGGGCAACCUGCCCAAAAGAGGGGGAUAACACUUGGAAACAGGUGCUAAUACCGCAUAACCAUAGUUACCGCAUGGUAACUAUGUAAAAGGUGGCUAUACUACCGCUUUUGGAUGGGCCCGCGGCGUAUUAGCUAGUUGGUAGGGUAAAGGCUGACCAAGGGAAUGAUGGGUAGACGAAUUGAGAGGUUGAUAGGCCACAUUGGGAGUGAGACACGGCCCAAACUACUACGGGAGGGAGCAGUAGGGAAUCUUCCACAAUGGGCGAAAGCCUGAUGGAGCAACGCCGCGUGGGUGAAGAAGGCCUUCGGAUCGUAAAACCCUGUUGUUAGAGAAGAAAGUGCGUGAGAGUAACUGUUCACGUUUCGACGGUAUCUAACCAGAAAGCCACGGCUAACUACGUG